rnacentral:rRNA from 1 species
GACGAACGCUGGCGGCGUGCCUAAUACAUGCAAGUCGAGCGGACCAAAGGGAGCUUGCUCCUGGAGGUUAGCGGCGAACGGGUGAGUAACACGUGGGCAACCUGCCUGUAAGACUGGGAUAACAUCGAGAAAUCGGUGCUAAUACCGGAUAAUAAAAAGAACUGCAUGGUUCUUUUUGAAAGAUGGUUUCGGCUAUCACUUACAGAUGGGCCGCGGCGCAUUAGCUAGUUGGUGGGGUAACGGCUCACCAAGGCGACGAUGCGUAGCCGACCUGAGAGGGUGAUCGGCCACACUGGGACUGAGACACGGCCCAGACUCCUACGGGAGGCAGCAGUAGGGAAUCUUCCGCAAUGGACGAAAGUCUGACGGAGCAACGCCGCGUGAGUGAUGAAGGUUUUCGGAUCGUAAAACUCUGUUGUUAGGGAAGAACAAGUGCCGUUCGAAAGGGCGGCACCUUGACGGUACCUAACGAGAAAGCCACGGCUAACUACGUGCCAGCAGCCGCGGUAAUGUAC